AGAUAAAUUAUCUGGCAUAUGCACAUAAAGUGCAUUUCUUUUGUUUUUCUUUAAUUAAUUUCAAUGGUCACAAUGGUAAAGAUCAGCAACAACAACAACAAAAAUCCAUUCUAGGAAAAUGCUACUCUUUUCCAUGGAUAGCGCGCUCAUUUAACUUGUUGUAAUUUCAUUAAGGUUAACAACAAAAUUUACCUGCCUUCUUCAUGUGAUAAAAAUCAAUAUUUUCCCUAUAUCAUUGUAAAACUAAGGUUCGAUUCAUAAUUUGUGUGUAUACAUAUUCGUAAAAACACUUGAGGAAAAUGGAUUCUAGAGUCUAGAUAAUCUUUCCUACGUAUUAACAACCUUCAUGUGUAAGUAGAUUUCUAGUUUCAAUUUCGGUUGUUUAGAAUUUACUAAUUUUUUGUGUUACAGCAUUGUGCUCAGAAAAUAUACUCUGUAUAAUUUCUGCUCUUAAAUUUCAUCAGUAGUUUCUUUGUUGCCUGAUCCUAAUUCCAUUGACUGGAGAAGCAGAUUGUCCAUGUGAAAGGUUUAACAUUCAAUAUGCAGCUAUUAGGGGCAUCCCUAGAAAUCUCAUCGAUUGGAUGGAUGCUGUCUGAAAAUUGAUGGAUUUGGUCUGAAAAUUUUUGUCUUUUCGUAGGAAGUUUAACGUAUUUAUACUCAUAAUUAGAACAGUGCUCGCCGGUGAAAAUAACAGUACAGGCACGAAAUGAUGGCAACCAGCAGGGACAAAAGGAAUAGGAUGGGAGCCAGACCACAGGUAUCCAGGAAUAUUCCCAACGUAGGGACCUUAAAAAGGAGUUUUCAUUACUUCAGCAGAUAAGAUGGAUGCCGAGUCCGCGCCUGGCGGGGUACUGCACAAUGUCAAGGAUGAGUGGGAUGAUUUUCGUGAUAGAAACUGAGAGGAUCAGAACUCCUAAGCACCAGACCCAGUGACCAUGACCUCUGCCGAAGGCAGACACUUAAACUCACUGAGCCACAAAGGUACCUUCUGACUGACUUUUCGAAGGCAGUGCAAUCAUCCUCUA